rnacentral:tRNA from 1 species
GCAUGGAUAGCCAAGUGGUCAAGGCGCACGUUCCCGGGUCGUGGAGGUUGCGGGUUCGAUUCCCGCUUCGUGCU